rnacentral:rRNA from 1 species
UUAAGCAUCCCGCCUGGGGAGUACGGUAGCAAGAUUAAAUUCAAAGGAAUGACGGGGGCCCGCACAAGCGGUGGAGCAUGUGGUUUAAUUGGACGCAACGCGCAGAACCUUACCAGCCCUUGACAUGCCUCGGACGGUUACCAGAGAUGGUUUCUUCUCUUCGGAGCCGAGGACACAGGUGCUGCAUGGCUGUCGUCAGCUCGUGUCGUGAGAUGUUGGGUUAAGUCCCGCAACGAGCGCAACCCUCGCCCUUAGUUGCCAUCAUUAAGUUGGGCACUCUAGGGGGACUGCCGGUGAUAAGCCGAGAGGAAGGUGGGGAUGACGUCAAGUCCUCAUGGCCCUUACGGGCUGGGCUACACACGUGCUACAAUGGCGGUGACAAUGGGACGCGAAAGGGUGACCUUUAGCAAAUCUCAAAAAGCCGUCUCAGUUCGGAUUGUACUCUGCAACUCGAGUACAUGAAGGUGGAAUCGCUAGUAAUCGUAGAUCAGAACGCUACGGUGAAUACGUUCCCGGGCCUUGUACACACCGCCCGUCACACCAUGGGAGUUGGUUCUACCCGAAGGCG